rnacentral:rRNA from 1 species
UACGUAAGGUGCAAGCGUUAAUCGGAAUUACUGGGCGUAAAGCGUGCGCAGGCGGUGAUGUAAGACAGGUGUGAAAUCCCCGGGCUUAACCUGGGAACUGCAUUUGUGACUGCAUCGCUGGAGUGCGGCAGAGGGGGAUGGAAUUCCGCGUGUAGCAGUGAAAUGCGUAGAUAUGCGGAGGAACACCGAUGGCGAAGGCAAUCCCCUGGGCCUGCACUGACGCUCAUGCACGAAAGCGUGGGGAGCAAACAGG